GAUGAACGCUAGCUACAGGCUUAACACAUGCAAGUCGAGGGACCGGCGCAGGGGGGAGUAACACGUAUAAACCCUCCACUUUACUCGGGGCAAGCCUUUCGCAAGAACGAUUAAUACCCGAGGUAAAGGAUGGGGAUGCGUUCCAUUAGGUUGUUGGUGAGGUAACGGCUAAAAAAGCCUUCGAUGGCUAGGGGUUCUGAUAGGAAGGUACCUCACAUUGGAACGGAGACACGGUCCACACUCCUACGGUAGGCAGCAGUGAGGAAUAUUGGUCAAUGGGCGUUAGCCUGAACCAGCCAAGUAGCGUGUAGGAUGAAGGCUUAUGGGUCGUAAACUUCUUUUAUAUAAGAAUAUGUAUUAUAUGAAUAAGGAUCGGCUAACUCCGUGCCAGCCGCCGCGGUAAUUC
rnacentral:rRNA from 1 species